GUCACCCAAGUGCCAGGACCAGUAAGGGAAACACCACUGAAGCGUACUGUCACGUAAGCGGCGGAAUGAAAUGACGCUUGCAGCGGUCACACACAGAUUGUGUCUGUUCCUUACUGCGCCACAGGUGGUUACUACCCCAUGGAGAUCGGAGAAAUUUUCGUUGACCGUUACCAAGUGGUUAAAAAGUUAGGAUGGGGUCACUUCUCUACUGUGUGGCUCUGCUGGGAUAUGGUGUAAGGGACAGUGACCCCAAAGAUCCUAAAUGUGAGAGAAUUGUGCACCUGAUUGAUGAUUUCCGGAUCUCUGGAUUGAACGGAAAACGGUAACCAAUCAGGUGUUAGGAUCCGCCCACCGACUUUGACGGACGAGGUUGACAGUCCUCCAUAGAGGGGACCUACACCCGCUCGCAUACCUGGGAUUCCAUCCUUCAGAGACCCCCGGAUGGCGAGGGGGAUGGUCGAUCUGACAGAUUCUGACAGAUCUGUCAGAUUGGCCACGUAAUAAAAAAGGACCUGUCAUCACACGUCGGAUGAAGCUCUGAAGAAGACUGCAGAUGCAGUCAAUACAUGUCAGCAAGGUAAUACCAUACUUUCCUUAUUGAGUUGUCGGUUUAAAACUAACGCCGUUUUACAAAAAAUAAUGGUUUUACAUAUCAAAAAUUGUGAUUUAUAGAGUCUUUAGCCUUUGUAAGACAACUUACAACCCACCUACGCUCUCUGGUUUUUGGUCUGGACCUGGUUCAAUGUGGUGCAGUGUAGUCCAGAAUCCAGUUCAUUGACUUUUACCUGUCAGUGGUUUUAAUGCUGUGAGUGAUUGGUGUAUAUCUUUUACUGCUCUCAUUUCUAAUUAGUUUCCAUAGCUCUCUCCUCUCUGCUCACACAGCCUGCAUUUCAGCUGAACAGUCACUGAAUCUUGGUCAUGUGAUUCUUGGUUGAGUGAAUCAUGACUUCUCAACUGUUCUGACGGGCACAGAAUAUUUUGCUUUAUAUACAAUCAGUUUGGUGCAAAUGUUUAAUUUCGGGGAAAUUUAAAAUAAGUAAUUUGGAUUAAACAUCAUGAUUUUAAGCUUAAAUUUGGUUAAUUUUCCUGAUGGAACCCUGCAUUGCAUACGAUUAGUUUAAGGCCUGUGAAAAAGAUGUAAAUUUGAUCAUUUUUUGCAGUUUCCUGCUCUGAUAAAUAAUUCAAAUGUGGGGUCAAAGAGGAAAAGGGGAGGGUGUCUUACUGAGAUGACAUGGGGUGAAAUGACAUGAAAACCUAAAAAUGUGUAAUGACGACAUACAAAGUGACUUGGCAUGUUUUUCAUUCUCUAUUUCAUGACACCAGGCUAUUGUGAACGCUGCGUGCCAUACAUAGACAGUGCAGCGAUCUGUGACCAGGUCCAUUUGGAAGAGGCGAACCUGGGUGCAAGUGACAGUGUGUCAAGUGUCCAUGCCUGUGAUUCAAGAUUUUUAUUUGCUAUUUGUACACAUUAGCAGACAGGUUAGGCACAUAGAAAUUCGUGUGCAGGGCUUUCUUUGAAAUCGAGGUAAAGAACAGACAACACAACCAUCAAAAACAGAAUUAAAAAAAGACACUCUAUAAGCGUGAUAUAAAAUCUAAAAGAUAAAUUAAAAAAAUAAGAGAACCAGAUGCUGCAGCUGAGGUACGAGAAUGCUGCAAUUGUGAAUGUCAUUGCGUACCCCCCAAAAAAAAAAAAAAAAAAACAGCCCAGCAGCCGCAAUAUGAAGUAAUGCUCCACUGUAAAAUUAUCUGUGGAACAGUUCAGUUGGAUUUGGUGAACACUAUUACUGUGUAUAAAGAUGUAAGCUGGAGUGAUGUAAGGACACUCCUGGAGGGAGGGAUUUACUCUCGGGCACACUGCAAAUUACUCAUACCUGAUCUGGAAGUGUGAGAAGCACCCUCACUGUCAUUCCUGACUGAAUUAUUUGCUCUGACAGUUUGUGUUUUCAGUUUGGCACAUUUUGUCGCUGGGUCAUUUAAAUCAUACAAGGAACAAAUUAUUAAACUGUGGGGUGUUUCUGAGUCCCAUCAAUUCCUGCCACCCACUACAUAUUUAGGUCAUGCAAUGUAGCAAACCCCAGCCAGACGAUGAUGAAGCUCCUGAUGUUUCAUGAAGCCUUUAUUUAUGUUCAGAUGUCAGCCUUAUUUUGAACACAAAUUCACCCUUCUGUCUUAAACUGUCCUUAAUUCCUUUCUUCAGGAAACACUGUCAGAGCUUGUCUCCAUUCCAGCUAGGUGCUUCUAAGCUUAGCCACAUCCUUUGCUAGACAGCAACAGCGUGGAACCAUUUUCUUUCAUCUUUAUGUGAAAUUUUGGACAUUUCGGCAGUCGUCCAAAAUGUGACAAAAACAUCAUAGUUUAGCAUGUCGUCCAAAAUAUGACAAAAACGUCAUAGUUUAGUAUGUCAUCCAAAAUAUGACAAAAAGGUCAUAGUUAAGUAUGUCAUCCAGAAUGUCACAAAAACGUCAUAGUUUUGUAUAUCGUCCAAAAUGUGGGAAAAACGUCACAGUUUAUUAUGUCGUCCAAAAUGUGACAAAAACGUCAUAGUUUGGUAUGUCGUCCAAAAUGUGGGAAAAACGUCAUCGUUUAGUAUGUCGUCCAAAAUGUGGGAAAAACGUCAUAGUUUAGUAUGUUGUCCAACAUGUGACGAAAAUGUCAUAGUUUAGUAUGUCGUCCGAAAUUUGACAAAAACGUCAUAGUUUAGUACGUCCUCCGAAAUAUCACAAAAAUGUUAUAGUUUAGUAUGUCGUCCAACAUGUGACAAAAAUGUCAUAGUUUAGUAUGUCGUCCAAAAUGUGACAAAAACGUUAUAGUUUAGUAUGUCGUCCAAAAUUUCACAAAAAUGUCAUAGUUAAGUAUGUCGUCCAAAAUGUGACAAAAAUGUCAUUGUUUAGUAUGUCGUCCAAAAUAUCACCAAAAUAUCACAGUUUAGUAUGUCGUCCAAAAUGUCACUAAAAUGUCAUAGUUUAGUAUGUCGUCCGAAAUGUGAAUAAAACGUCAUAGUUUAGUAUGUCGUCCAAAAUAUCACAAAAAUGUCAUAGUUUAGUAUGUCGUCCGAAAUGUGAAAAAAAUGUCAUAGUUUAGUAUGUCGUCCAAAAUGUCACAAAAACGUCAUAGUUUAGUAUGUCGUCCAAAAUAUGGAAAAAACACAUCAUAGUUUAGUAUGUCGUCCAAAAUGUGAGAAAAAUGUCAUAGUUUAGUUUGGAUACUAUGGCGUUUUUUUGCGCCAAAAUUCACUAUGAUUUUUUUUUCAAAGAAAACCUUUCUGGAGUGUUUUUCACUGCCUCCUUUACAUUAUUUCAUCAUAUGGCACGUUUUUACAACAUGUUGAAAAAUCACAGUUUUUUUUUUUCAACAUAGUGUUGAGAAUUGAGAAUCAACUGAGAAAAACUGUGAAUAUUUUCAUUUACUGCAAAUGAAUAUCUACUGCAAAUGUCUCACUAAUAAUCAUUAUCAGCCUUAAAAACCCACAAAACACCCCUCUAUACUGGACCACACUUAGUACAGUCCGGUUCCCCCUUCUAUUAAAUCUGCUUGGAUUCGUCCACUUCCUGUUUGUCAAAUUGGCCUUCUACAUGGACAGGUUUUGUUGGAGCUCAUGCAACAAACAUUUUGGGUAAGUGCACUUUAACAUGGAUGGAUGACACUGAAUUAGAGUCUGUUUUAAUGAGAGUGAGUUAAGAUGUGUAGCUCUGUCAUUAAAUAGGAAAUUAUUUCUCAGAAUUCACAGAGAAAAGUCUGAAAUGUUUGCUAGGUUAGCGUCCCACAUGUUCUUUGGCUCAGCUAAAGCUAACUCUCUCCAACUUCUGGAUCGCUUGAGUUGCUUGUUGUUAAAAUAUCUUGCUAGAGGUGCUUGGAGGUUUCAUUUGGUACAAUGAGCCUUUUUUUUCCAUUUACCCUCUGCUAUCCCUACCCAGAUCCCAACAUGUCCUUUUUUCUUUAUUCCUCAAGAAAGGUGCGCGCAGCACUGCGCAGCAGCCGGAGCUGUCAUUGGCAGGGCAGCUCGAAUGAAAUUUCGUUGUAUAGGAAAGUGUGCAAUGGCCAAUAAAGAUUGAUUGAGAUUGAAGCUCAGAAAGUCUGAGAUGUUUGUUCAAAAUAAGCUCAUUCUCAAGUCUUAUCUGAACUGUCUUCUUUUGUUUUAACUUUUCCUAAACUUAGGACUUAAUGACAGAGCAGCACAUCCAGACUCAGUCUCAUUUAUGUAGAGAUUAAACUUCAGUGUCAUUCAUUGAUGUUAAAGUGCAGUUUUUCAAAUGUUUGUUGCACAUGCUCCCGACCAAACCAGUCCAGGUGGAAGACGAUAUGAAGAGAAAGCUCCAGAGGAUGAACAUCACACAUUUACGUUGGAAAUAAAUGUCCUUUAAUUAGACAUUGUCAUGCAAAAGUUGGAUUUCCCUUUACUGAUGUUCAAAUCUUUGUUGAGUGUUUUGUUGAUGUUGGUUUCUAAAUGUUUUCUGACACUCGGCCCCAAAGAUUAAAACCUUCUACGGCUCACAAGCUGCAACAAUUCACACAUUAUCAACUAUCUUUCUGAAUAAACUAAGAUAAAAAGUGAAAAACUGCCUGAUUCCUGCAUCAUAAAUGUAAAUCUUUUGGGUUUUUAUGACAGUAAACUGAAUAUAUUUGGGUUUGACAUUUUAUAAACCAAAACAAGAAAUGAAUUAGUGGAGAAAACAAUCAACGGAUUAAUGGACAAAGAAAAUGUGUUUUCCAACAUAUAUGGCUGAAUUACUCCAACAUUACAAGAUACAUACAGUUUCGAUUCAAUUUUAUUUAUAUAACGCCAAUUACAGGUCAAAUUGUCUCAAGACGCUUUAUUUUUAUAUUUUUUAAAAAUAUGACAGUAAGAAAUUUAAAGCUCUUGACUAAUCCAAUUUAUUACUUGGUUUUUAAGAGACUAAUACACAAUUAAAAUAAGUUUCUCCACUAAAACUAAUAAACAUGAGGUCAAAUAGAAGGAAGAGUUUUAAAUACUGCAGUGUCUCAACAAAAACUAAAUCUGCUGGUGGAUUCCAUUAAAGUCCUUAUAAAUGGUAAUAAAGUGUGAUACUAAAGGUUUGUGGUGCUAAAAAUGUCAAAGUAAAGAUAUGAAGUUGAACAUCUGGAUGGAGGUUGAUAAAAGUUGACGUCCCUUCAUUUCUGUGGAGCGACUCCAUGGAUUUUAUGGAUGGUGGUUAAAGACCUGCUCUUCUAGUCAUCUUCCUUCUAGUCACUGUAAAAAGUCAGUCCAUCCUGGCCGACUUCAACACCUCUUCAUGACAACUUGUUCUACCUCUGACCUCGUGGAAACUCCAGAAACUGGGGAAAAUCUGUGGGGACUGGAAGAACUCGUGGGGCGGGGGAAGGUGUGGUGGGUGGUGGGGGAGGUGGGGGAGUAGAGGGGGGAAGGCCGCCACCCACCUCCCCACCCACCUCCCCGCCUACUCUCCGCCCUGACUCCACCCAGACUCCGCCUUGGCUCCACCCAUGUGGAGGAACGGAAACUACGAUGCCAAAGGGACGACGAAAUUAUUUCUUUUCAUCUGAUCUGUAGCUCAGUGAGUUAAGGAUUUGUCUAUGGAGCAGCAGGUCGCUGGUUCAAGACCAGACCCUUCUUAAAGUUUUUGAAAAUCCUGACAAAGACAAAGAAAGAAAACUGCCAGUGGUGGGUCUUGAACCUGCGACCUUCCACUUGGUAGUCUUCUUCUUAUCCCCCUGAGCUAUUUGCUCAGAUACUAAUUUUUCUUUUUUUUGCGCAUUUGUCAUCUAGUUUUUGUCGGUUUUGAGUUUUUUUUCAACUCGAGUCUCAUCUCGACCGUUUUUCUCAGGAGGUUGGACUUCGGCCUUUGUGCUGGAGGGUGGAACCCUCAGUUCCAAGACUUUCCAAAGCCUCCAGACCUCCCGAGUCCUCAGGACCUGAGCUUUCACACAGUCUGAGGGCUGAAAUUUUCUAAGUCCCACAGUAGUUCUCUGGUAGAUUUAACUUUCAGACAGUCCAAGGACUGAUAUCUUCGAAGUUCCUGAGUAGUUCUCUGUUAGUUUGAACCUUUCCACAGUUCGAGGACUGAAAUCCUAAAAGUUCUUGAGUACUUCUCUGUUAGUUUGAACCUUUAGACAGUCUGAGGACUGAAAUUUUAAAAGUUUCUCAGUACUUCUCUGUUAGUUUGAACUUUCUGGUUAACAGAAGCCUUAAAACUUGUGACCAUGAGUCUUGAUUUCACAUUUAGACCAUCCAUCUGAGUUCUUCUCAGACCUUCACCUGUGGGUUUUUUAGAAAUCCUCAACAAACUUUGAUUCUCUUCACUGAACAGUAAAGUUUGUGGGGAUCAGAAGGUAACAUUAGUUUGAUAAAUGCCUUCAACUACUAGUAGACUUUAUCUGGAAAGCAGUUUUCUGAAAUGAGUUCUUAGUAAAUCUGUCCACAAUCAAACCAAGAACAUAGAAAGAGGAAAUGUUUGAACAAACAACUUGAUGUUUUCAUUUCAGACUAGAAAAUGCUUUAAGAUCUUUAUCUGUUUUUGCUCGUUUUGAUUGUUUUAUUGUCUCUUCUGUUUAAUUUGAUCUUCUAAAGUCUAACUGGUAUCUUGUCAAAUGUUUUGUCUUUAGUUUGAUUCUUCUUAAAUGUUUAUUUUUGCUCUUUUCUCACCUUUUAUUCUGUUCUAAUGUCUGAUUUGAUUUUGAAA